rnacentral:rRNA from 1 species
CCUACGGGUGGCAGCAGUCGAGAAUCAUUCACAAUGGGGGAAACCCUGAUGGUGCGACGCCGCGUGGGGGAAUGAAGGUCUUCGGUUUGUAAACCCCUGUCAUGUGGGAGCAAAUGAAAAAGAUAGUAUCACAAGAGGAAGAGACGGCUAACUCUGUGACAGCAGCCGCGGUACUACAGAGGUCGCAAGCGUUGUUCGGAAUCACUGGGCGUAAAGCGUGCGUAGGCUGUUUCGUAAGUCGGGUGUGAAAGGCGCGGGCUCAACCCGCGACCGGCACAUGAAACUGGGAGACUAGAGUAAUGGAGGGGGAACCGGAAUGCUCGGUGUAGCAGUGAAAUGCGUAGAUAUCGAGAGGAACACUCGUGGCGAAGGCGGGUUCCUGGACAUUAACUGACGCUGAGGCACGAAGGCCAGGGGAGCGAAAAGGAUUAGAUACCCGAGUAGUC